rnacentral:rRNA from 1 species
UGCGUAGGCGGUUUUAUAAGUCACUUGUAAAAGAUCUCAGCCCAACUGAGUAAGGCGAGUGAAACUGUAAGACUUGAAUACGGUAGAGGUAAGUGGAAUUCCAUGUGUAGCGGUGGAAUGCGUAGAUAUAUGGAGGAACACCAAUGGCGAAGGCAACUUACUGGACCGGAAUUGACGCUGAGGCACGAAAGCGUGGGGAGCAAACAGGAUUAGAUACCCUGGUAGUCC